AAUCAACGCUGGCGGCGUGCCUCAGACAUGCAAGUCGAACGCGAAAGUCUCCUUCGGGGGACAAGUAGAGUGGCGCACGGGUGAGUAACACGUAGGUAAUCUACCUUCGGAUGGGAAGUAACAACCGGAAACGGUUGCUAAUACCGCAUAAUGCAGCGGCACCUAAUGGUGACAGUUGUUAAAGCGGGGGAUCGAAAGACCUCGCGUCUGAAGAGGAGCCUGCGGCGGAUUAGCUAGUUGGUAAGGU
rnacentral:rRNA from 1 species